UACGUAGGGGGCUAGCGUUGUCCGGAAUCAUUGGGCGUAAAGCGCGUGUAGGCGGCCAAGUCAGUCGAAUGUGAAAGCCCCCGGCUUAACUGGGGAGGGUCAUUCGAUACUGCUCGGCUCGAAGACAGGAGAGGGAAGUGGAAUUCCCGGUGUAGUGGUGAAAUGCGUAGAUAUCGGGAGGAACACCAGUGGCGAAGGCGACUUUCUGGCCUGUUCUUGACGCUGAGGCGCGAAAGCUAGGGGAGCAAACGGGG
rnacentral:rRNA from 1 species